GACGAACGCUGGAGGCGUGACUAAUACAUGCAAGUAGAACGCAGUUGCGAACGGGUGAGUAACGCGUCGGUAACUGCCUCAUAGCGGGGGAUCACUAUUGGAAACGAUAGCUAAUACCGAAUACUGUGAGAUGGACCUGCGUUGUAUUGGUUAGUUGGUGAGGUAACGGCUCACCAAGGAGACGAUACAUAGCCGACCUGAGAGGGUGAUCGGCCACACUGGGACCUAGACAUGUCCCAGACUCCAAAGGGAGGCAGCUGUAGGGAAUCUUCGGCAAUGGACGGAAGUCUGACCGAGCUACUCUGCGUGAGUGAAGAAGGUUUUCGGCUCGUACAGCCCUGUUGUUGGAGAAGCGGUAACGAACCAGAAAGGGACGGCUAACUACGUGCCAGCAGCCGCGGUAAUUC
rnacentral:rRNA from 1 species